rnacentral:lncRNA from 1 species
AAUUAUUAGUUGUACAGUUGAUUCCAAAUUUAUUCAUCAGGGGGAGUUAGUGCUUGUUCGGCUUACGUUUGGAUUUCAUUGUUUUUAUUAUUAAAAUUUUUAUAUCACAUAUACUAAAAAUAUAAAAUUCUAAAAUGUUUUUGAAUGCAUUUUUGGAAAGUAUCUGUAUUUUUAUUACUGUUGACAGUACUGUAGCCGUAGUUUCUUUAUCCUUAAAGUUCUUUACUUUGAAGAUCAAACUUUCAAUUGCAUAUAAAGCAGAACAAAAGAUUGACAUAAUAAAUACAGGUUUAACCUUGAUUUUUGGCCACCAGAGUAUUGCCAGACUAUUAGCUGUUUCUGCUGGACUAAUAGAAGUCGUAUAAUAAUAACUCAUCAGUACACCUCUUUAUCACUAGUUAUACCUCUCUCAUGUCUUUAAAGCAUAAUAGCUAUAUUAAGCAUUAAAAUUUCUAUAAAUUUAAACAUAUAUAAUAAAAUUUGAUUAUUUGAAGCUUGAGUCUCACUAUAAUUGAAUUAUUAAACCAUGG